GCCAGUGUGAUGUAGUGGUUUGAGUGUUGGACUAAGACUCUGGAGACCAAGGUUCGAAUUCUUGCUUGGCCA